rnacentral:rRNA from 1 species
GACAGAGGGUGGCAAACGUUGUUCGAAUUACUGGGCGUAAAGCGCGUGUAGGCGGCCCUGCAAGUCGGAUGUGAAAUCCCACGGGCUCAACCGUGGAAGUGCAUUCGAAACUGCAGGGCUAGAGUCUUGGAGAGGAAGGUGGAAUGCUUGGUGUAGAGGUGAAAUUCGUAGAUAUCAAGCGGAACACCGGAUGGCGAAGGCGG